UCACCACCAGCCGCACCUCCCCCUGCAUGUAGCUGCUGACGUCGUCGUUCUCAUCGCCGCCACUCGAGGACUCGGCCUGGACCUCGCCGCAGCAGGUGGCCGCGGGCGCGUCCUCGCUCGCCGGGCAGGAGGCGGAGGGAGCAGGGGCAACGACGGGGCCGGCGGGCACGAGGGCCUUGGAGGUGGAGGCGGAGGUGGGGUUGGAGGGGGAGGCGGAGGGGACGGCGCUGCCAUCGGUCGUGCAGUCGUCGCCCGAGCUUGACACGGGCGGCGUGGGAGACUCCUUCAUGGCCUCGAGGACGGGGGCGGGGCUAGCUGCAGCCAACGUGGCGCGCGGGUCCCAAAGUGGACGCCGAACGACCUGAGCGAGAGGGGGAAAGGGCGCGCGGGUGGGGGAGCGGAAAGGAUGAGUGCGCGCGCUUGUUGAGCAGGAGCCUCAAGAAUGCCGAUACGUGGUUGUAUGAAAGAGCCCCAGGCGAGAGGUCUAAGAGCCCGCGCGAGCAACAAUCAAGCUGAACAAACCAAAGACUGUCGUAAAGCCUACUGCGCAUGCCACUAGUGGAAGUUUGGCUUUGACAACCGCCGGGCCAGCGUUCCGGCCAGGCGGUGCACAAAGGAAACGCCAGUAGCGCUGAAUUGGUGGUUGUGCCCGCCAACGUGUACCCGUCGCUUUUGCAGAAUGCUCACCUUCUGUCCAUUGCAAGGGAAGCAUGGCGAGCGGAUGUCGCUAGCAGUAGCCUUGCACAGGCGAGGCACGCCGAGGGCCUCAGGCAGAGCAUUGAGCAUGCAGCUCAAGUCCUCCCUCAAGUCUCCGCCCGUCAGCGCCUUGAAGACGCAUCCAGCCAGAAACGAGAGCAUGGAAGCACACGUUUGAGCAAAGGAAAGAAGGAGCGACAAGCAACAGAAGUGCGCCGAGCAAUCGGUGCAGUCUUUUCGCUCGCUAUGUGCGUUUAGAUGUCACGAGCUAGCAGUGCAUGCUUUGAGAAGCUGAGAUAGCGUAGAAGUAAGGAAAUGCCGCAUGAUUGAUUGAUGUUACAAGUUCAUGCUCGUAGAUUGGUCCAAACGAGCCAGGAAGCUCAUGGACCGCCAAAACUAGUCUCAAAAGGAUUAUUCAAAAAGCAAAACAGUUCAUGCAAUAAUAUAUCUAAAUUGGUCGCGCCGUAAGGUCGUUACGUCGCAGCCUUAUCGCGUGAAUGACACGCGCUAAACCCCUCUGGUCACCACUGGCCAUCGCGUCCAUCAUAGUCGCGGGAAUCACCUCCCACAGCGUGCUUCUGAUAUCAUCGUACGCCUUGCACUCAAGCAGCACAUGCCUCUCAUCCUCUACAUGCUCCUCCCCAUCAGCGUGGCAAAGCGGACAUACUCUCUGUGCUCUCUCCCUGUGCGCACCCUGCGCACCGCGUGGGUUGUUAGCCUCAAUCAUCCACACGCCCAUCCUGAAUCUCAUCAUGGAGACAUGCCAUGCUCGAGGAAUGUAGAUUUGCGUGUGCCGUGUUUCCCCCAUCCAAUGCUUGUAACGACAUAUCUUCACGCCAGGCUUGACCCCUGCUUGCGUCACAAAAUCCCGUGGAUUAACCUCUAACCUGUUGCUAGCCCAGUCCUCCUCAAACUUCUCGCGUACCUUCCCCAUGAGGGAGGCAACAUCCAGUUCUUGCGUAGUAAUGCGUGUAAUAUUGGCCUCGAUAUCAGCUGCCUCUCCACUGAAACGGUAGCCAAGGCCAACCAUCAAUAACCGCAGAACUUUAGCCCCCCACGUGUGCGUGGGCGGCGUCGGUAGGUUGCUCAACACCGCUCGUAUCUCCUCCUUAAACGCCUGAUGGUAAACAGUGCCGGUUGCCUUAACCAGUUGGUUCCAAAAACGGAAAACAAGCUCAGCCCAAUGCACGUGUAAUGGCAUGCACCCAAGCUCUCGAAAGAGCAGUUCAUGUGUUGGUUUCUGGGCUCCCACCACUUCCUUCAUGAAAUCCAUCUGAAUGCGAACCAUGCCAUGCUCUAGUGCUCGAUCAAACGCUCCAUAUCUUUGACCGUCAACUGGGGACGCAUUGAACACUUGGAGAAGCGCGUCUGGUGCCCACACUUGUGCACCGUAAGAUAAUACCGCACGCACCUGAGCGUUAAAGCACCGCAUAGCUACCGCAGGGACCAUAAGCCCCUUCUUGCGUAACUUCCGUCGUAGUGCAUGCAUAGCUCGCUCACCCGAUGCACGUAACUCUUUGCAACAAGAUUCAAACUUAAAACUUGGGCCGUAAUACAGGCCAAGGUACCGCGCUCUACGCUUCCAGGGAAAGAAGCGAAGUGCUUCCAGCCCUUGCUGGUAUUCCCGCAUGUACACCGGCAUGGGGCUUGGCUCCUGCCGUAAAUAACGCCGAAAGGUGGCUGACGAAUGCACACCCAGCACUUCUGACUUUGUAACAUGCCGCAUGUUGACCGCAUUUUGUCCAGCCCCGCGACCUCGCGACCGGAUGGCAGUACGACCGCGCACAGCUGAACCCGCCGUGAACAACAGGUCCCUCGCCACACCGUGCGUGUCCAGUUUGCGAUUGAAUGCAUCAUGUAAUACUCUAGAUGUAUUACUCGCAGCAAACGUUGCAUAAAAGAAAUGCGCGCGUCAGGACGACUGGAGUGAGACGGAAGGUGCACAGCCAUGACUGUUACACCCCGUCAGCUUGUCGCUAACGGCCGCGCCCCGGCAGACGCAGUGUGCUGGCCCGCAGCUAGUAGACGCAUGCUUUGACAGCGGGUGCAUGUCUCAGAGACUCAGAGCCGCACGCGGGGCCUUAGGUGCUGACUCUGCUGAGAGUGGAAGGGAGUGCAUGCGCGCAGCCAGCAGCGGUCGGGUUCGCAGAGGUCCGCUCAGGGUCAACCCUGGGUCCGCUGUGGUUGGAACGUGUAGUUCGACGCCACAUCCGUACAUAACGCUGGACUGGCCACCGACAAAUGCUCUUUCUCCUUUUACCAACGCCACUGCGACAUCUGCACUCUGCAGACGCGGGCACACAUAGCCUGCUGCUUGAAGCCAUACUUCACUGAACACAUCAGGGAAGCAAACAUAACACCUCCCCACCUGCGCAAUCAUGCCCACCCAGUCCCACCCCGCCUCUGUAAACUCAGUAACUUCAGAAUCCCCGAACUCAAACCAAUCCCCCAUACACGUUCCCACAGGCCACUCUUAUACCUUCGGCCGAUCGGAAGCUUAGCAGGUAGCGGCCUCCUUUGAACUGUUCCAACAAGAGUAUUACGGUACUCACGCUAUACCAGUAUGACUUACGGUUCGCCACCAGAGUUCGUACUUGCCGCCAACGCGUGCCAGUUCUUAUCCGAGUCACCUGCCUGUGCCUAGUGCCCCUGCCCACGGCAUUGCAGCAGCGCGACCGUACCAUAGCAGCACGACCAGUGCGCCCGCACCAUGCACUGCUCUGAGGUCGUGGCGUUCAUUCCCCUCGCCUGCCCUUGCGCCCUUCCAUUACGGUACUUCAUGGCAUGCAGCUGCGCCCAUGUCGACAGCCGUACCAACGCCAUACGUCUGUCCCCAUCACCUAUCCGUCACCUGCUCCCCUGCAUCAAGCCUGGCCUGGCUCCCCCUCGCUUCCGUCUCCCAUUCCCUGCACCCUCCACCGGGCCCAACCUCCAUCCCAGCCGCCACAGCCAAUGCCCUCUUCUCGACCCGUUGUAAUCCGCAUCCAUAUGCUGCGUUGGCUGGCGCAGUUCGUUUACUCGGGAGGACUCGGCGGGGCGUCUUCCGCUGCACGCCUGCACCCUUCCCCUUGCACCCUUGCCCCUUGCAUGGCUCUUGUACAUCAUGUUUGCAUCCGAGUCGCUGGCGGCGACGCCACAAACCCCACACAUCUGCCCCCACCGAUGACUGCCUAGCACCUCAUCCGGCCGCUAUAGCCACCCACCUCGCUUCCAUGUCCUGCACCCGCGCUCCCUCCACGGCUCCACCCACCACCGAGCCCCACCUCCAAGGCUCCAGCUCAUGCCCACUCAAGGCCACACGCACGCAUGCAGGUAAGAAGCAUGCUGAGUUGCUCAAGCCCGCGAGGCCCGGCCCACGUACACCGUGCAUGCAUGCUCUGCAGUAUAUGCACCAGUAGGCAGGCCCCGAGGACAAAGAGACGUGUCACUGGAUGCUGCCCAUAGUUGUUACAAGUGCAUGCACGCACGCCGAUGCAUGAAGCUAUGGCCCCACCGGCCUUGAUUAGGAAAGAAGUCAUCUUUUGGUGUCAAUCCGUGCGUAUGCUUCACUGGGCUCCAGCCCUGCCCCGUCUCAUCCUCUCAUCCAGUGUCCUUACCCAGGGGUGAUGACCUGCAAUGCACAGGCCGUGCCCCUUCAUCCAGUGUGCCAGUCCUGUGCCCAUCCCUACUCGUCCUAGUCACGAGGCCUAACUAGCCGUGCACACGCUCCAGCCCCCGCCGCACCGUCAGCCGCUGCAGCUAUGAAGCCGUUCGCUACCCGCCGUCACACCCACGGUCACACCGCCUAGCAGCUAGUCCUCAUUACCGUACACCUGGCCAAGCUGCAUGAAUCAAUGCAGCCAGCGCUUUGCACAAGACAAUAUCGGCUGACACAAGCAGGUCAAAGCAAUCUAAUAGUGAAACGGUAGCCAACGAGCCAAAGACGCUUGGUUCAGCGACGCCGCGUCAGGCAUUUGCCCGCCUAGUCAGUUGUGUGUUGUGUUCACCUGCGUGCCGGUCUGUCAACCGCCCACCGCCCGUAUUCAACACUAGCAGACUAAAGCCUAAAGCCGAAGCGUCUAAAAGAUACAGAUCAAUCCAUGUACAGGGUCCUAAAUGUCCAAAAACACCCGAAAGAGAAGCCAAUGCACGAGUUGUGUGAAAGAGCAAUGCUAGGCAGACAGCGUUCGACCCAAACCACGUCUAGUGAUGACACGCACGCUCACGGGCACGCAGAGUGCCUCCCCUCGCAGUAGCAGUAUGAAUAUCUGCAGCGCAUGUAUAAUGAAUUAGUUUGUACGCCCUAUGAAAGAACUUCCACGCCCUAGGCCGCUUGCUCCAUCCUAAGCGGUAGGUAGUGUUCCAGUCCUGCCGCUGACGCGCACUCGGAGCUAGCUGCGGCACUCCUGGGGCUGUCUCGGCGCGCAAGCACACAAGCAAACGCACACACUGAUGCCGGCCGCACGCCGGCCUGGCGCGGCACGAUAGCUAGUAAGCGAGCUAGCGAGCAAGCCCUACUCUCCUUGGCAGCAUACGCUGCAGCCCUGCCAAUGAAACCAUCUCAGGUUUGCCCUCUCUCGAACCUCUCAACAGCCCUGCCCGACAGCCUAUGGGCGCCCUUGGCGCGAAAACGCAAGCCACCAAUACCAAGCCCGCUAGCAGCACGUAGCAUGUAGCGUCAUCAGUAGCCGCACACAACGACCUCCUCCCAGAUCGCGGCCAGCCGCUGGACCACCUGCUCCGCAGUGGGCCGCUCCUGCGGAUCCCACGCCACGCAGUCGAGCAGCAGCAGCUCCAGUGACAGGGGCAGGUAGGAAGGGAAGAUGCCGGCCGGGAAGGCACGGGCAGCAGCCGGCGCGUCGCCGGCCGGCCACCAGCUCUGCUGCGCAAACCAGUCGGCCGCGGCGCUGUUGCUGCCGGUCACAGCCACGCACAGGGCCGUGAUGCCGAACGAGUACACGUCCACAGCGGCCGUCAAUGGCACGUUGCUCUGCACCUCGGGUGCCAUGUAGUGGCGGGUGCCGCAGGCCAUCUCGAAGAAGAAGGUGCCAGUGGGGUCGGCGGGGCUCAGCUGCUCAGCCAGACCAAAGUCAGCCAGGCAGUAGGUGUCGUCAGCGCGGUGGAGCAUGUUGGCAGGCUUGACGUCUGUAGGGGAUGAGAGGGCAAGGGCCAGCGAGUCAAGCGAAGCGCGUAAGAGGUCAUGGUGGUUGGAUGGGGGCGCAAGUAAAGGAGCAGAGAGUGCGCGGCGUGGCGCUAAGUGCAUGCAUGCGUCUUCCAUCUCACCAAUCCCCGCCGUCGUAUCCUGGGACACGCACCACACCCUCAUCAGCGGCAGCAGCCCCGCCCCUCCGCAUCUGGCUGGCUGGCCCGCUCACCGUUGUGCACGAGUCCCACGCGGUGCAUGGCCUUGAUCGCGGCCGCCAGAGACACCAGGAUGGCCAGCACCUGCUUCAGCGGCAGCAGCGCCACGUCCUCCCACACGUCGCGGCAGCGGGGAGCACUGGCAGUGCCAGGCACUGGGAAGCCCGGCGGAGCACGGGCCACACGCACAGACGGCAGAAGCGGGUCUUCAGCAGCAGAAGUAGCAGCCGAGGCCGGCGCCGACGCAGGCACGGGCGGCGAGGCCAGUAGUGGUGCGAAGCCAGGCGGUGGCAGCGGGGGGCGAGGGGCCGCCGGCAGUGCGUGAAAGCCCGGCGGCGGCGGGCACGGGCGAGGGCUGGCCGCCAGCAGGGGCUCAAAGCCGGGCGGCGGCGGCGGCGGCCGAGGGGCCGGCAGGACGCCAGAGCCCGGCGGCGCCGCCGGCCGCGCCCUGGUGACGUUGUCAGGCAUGCUGGCGACGUCGGUGUUGGCGGCGGCGGCUGCAUCUGCCUGCUGCUGUGUGGCCUCCAUCUGAGCCCAGAUCUCGUCGCGCUUUUCAGUGGCAUCCUCCUGUGCAAUGCAGAGCAUACCGUAUAGGAGUGAGGGGCCAGGUUUUGGGCAUGACAGCUUAGGCUUGUGUGUAGCCAACGCUCAAGCAAGCGUGCACGCUACGCACGCACACACACACAGGCCCGCCCACACAGGCCCCUCUGGGCGGGCUUUCGUUUCGCUUUUUAACACACAGGCCCGCACACGCGCACGGCUCACCAGUACGGAAGCCACGCAGCCCUUUGCCAGCUCCAUCACCAUCAUGGGCAGCUGCCCGGGCCGGCCGCCGUGGCACAGCAGCCGCACAAACGGGCUCCGCUCAGCCGCCGCCAGCAGCGGCAACGGCUGUUCAGGCGAGGAGGAAGAAGAGGAGGAGGAAGAGGCGGUGGCGCAGGCCUGCUGCAGCUGCAUCGCCGCGCCGACCUCCCUGUUCAGCUGCUCCUUGGCCUUGGUGAGUCCGCCCAGGAACAGCUUGGCGGCGACGGGCCGUGUGGUGCCGUCGGGCCGCUGCAACAGCCCCACGUGCACGAGGCCGUAGCCGCCGCGGCCGAUCUUGCCCUCGGACCGCCAGCACUGGAGGCCGUGACGCUCCUCGAACGCGUCCAGCUGAGGGAUAAGGGGAACAGGAGGAAGCAAGGAAGGGGGUUAUUAUAUUCGAGAUUAUUAAGAAGGAGGGAUUGGCGCCGGGCGUUACGAGGGCGGCGUGGGAAGCAAUGCAAGUGGACAGCGAGGAGACAGCUAGCCGGCAGGCGACACGCGCGCACACAGUGUCAUGGCUUCCAUGGAUGCACCCAACCAAACACCCCAGUUCAGGCGCAGGACGCACGGCAAACUACCGUGUGCGUACGUGUGCUCCAUGCUGCCCUCUGCUGCCACCCACUACACCCACCCACCAGCACGAGACACCCGCUCACCAGCAGCUUGCGGAAAUCCUCCACGACGCUCUUGGAGAAGCGGCGAAAGGAGCCGUCCUCGAACGUCACCACCAGCCGCACCUCCCCCUGCAUGUAGCUGCUGACGUCGUCGUUCUCAUCGCCGCCACUCGAGGACUCGGCCUGGACCUCGCCGCAGCAGGUGGCCGCGGGCGCGUCCUCGCUCGCCGGGCAGGAGGCGGAGGGAGCAGGGGCAACGACGGGGCCGGCGGGCACGAGGGCCUUGGAGGUGGAGGCGGAGGUGGGGUUGGAGGGGGAGGCGGAGGGGACGGCGCUGCCAUCGGUCGUGCAGUCGUCGCCCGAGCUUGACACGGGCGGCGUGGGAGAC
rnacentral:lncRNA from 1 species